rnacentral:rRNA from 1 species
UACGGAGGAUCCAAGCGUUAUCCGGAUUUACUGGGCGUAAAGCGUGCGCAGGCGGCUGCUCAAGUCAGGGGUGAAAGCCCAGAGCUCAACUCUGGAAUUGCCUUUGAGACUGAGUGGCUUGAGUACGGGAGAGGUGAGUGGAAUUCCCAGUGUAGAGGUGAAAUUCGUAGAUAUUGGGAAGAACACCGGUGGCGAAGGCGGCUCACUGGCCCGUAACUGACGCUCAUGCACGACAGCGUGGGGAUCAAACAGG